rnacentral:rRNA from 1 species
AACGAACGCUGGCGGCAUGCUUAACACAUGCAAGUCGAACGAGACGUCCGGGUUUAGGGGCGCACGGGUGCGUAACGCGUGGGAACCUGCCCUUGGGUUCGGAAUAACUCCCUGAAAGGGGUGCUAAUACCGGUGAAUGUCAUCGGACCAAAGAUCUAUCGCCUUUGGAUGGGCCCGUGUUGGUUUGGGUAGUUGGUAGGGUACAAGCCUACCAAGGCGACGAUCCAGAGCUGGUCUGAGAGGAUGCUCAGCCACACUGGGACUGAGACCCGGCCCAGACUGGGACGGGAGGCAGCAGUGGGUAGUAUUAGGCGAGGAGCGAAAGCCUGAUCCAGCAAUGCCGGGUGAGAGGUGAAUGGCUUAGGAUUGUAAAUCUCUCUUUCCCGAGAUGAGAGUGACAGUACCGGGUAAAGAAGCACCGGCUAACUCCGUG